GACGAACGCUGGCGGCGUGCCUAACACAUGCAAGUCGAGCGGAGAUAUUUGGAAAGCUUGCUUUUUGAAUAUCUUAGCGGCGGACGGGUGAGUAACGCGUGAGUAACCUGGCCUAUACAGGGGGAUAACAGUUAGAAAUGACUGCUAAUACCGCAUAAGACCACAGUAUCGCAUGGUACGGGGGUCAAAGAUUUAUCGCUGAGAGGUGGGCUCGCGUCCGAUUAGGUAGUUGGUGAGGUAACGGCCCACCAAGCCGACGAUCGGUAGCCGACCUGAGAGGGUGAUCGGCCACAUUGGGACUGAGACACGGCCCAAACUCCUACGGGAGGCAGCAGUGGGGAAUAUUGGGCAAUGGGGGGAACCCUGACCCAGCAACGCCGCGUGGAGGAAGAAGGUUUUCGGAUCGUAAACUCCUGUCCUCAGGGAAGAGCAGAAGACGGUACCUGAGGAGGAAGCCCCGGCUAACUACGUG
rnacentral:rRNA from 1 species